GCUGGGCCUGGUAAAGAGACUCAGAAAGGAAGAAUUUCACAUAACGUGUGGGAAAUGCAUUUCAAACUGAAGAUCAAAGGUAACAUGCUAAAAUGUCUCGGUGAAUAGAAGCCAAAGUACAUCAGCCUUACUUCCUGUCGACAGCCAGGGAUGGAAGACAAUUGCACUUCAUCUGGAGAGAUGCACACCUGACUGGAAUAAACAUUCCUUUUCCCCGUCACGCUGUUCACUUUGGUGGAGAACAAGAGAGUUGCAUCACAAUGAACAGAUGUGAGAGACUGUAGUAGACCCGUGAAGUUAAGGCUCUGCAACAAGCGCGCAGCUUUUGAGCAACAGCACCAGGAUCCAUUUAUCUUCAUUUCUUAUUUGCAAAGCCUCACCGAACACAUCCGGGGUUCUGUUGGAGAAAAGAGACUUCCUGAGACAUGAUGUAAUUCUUGCAAAGGGGAAACACAUGCUGAGUUCUGCAGCACAAAACAAUAUUGAGGUGCUGAUAGCUGGGGCUGACAGUCACAUGACAGGAUACAGGCCACAACCAGGCAGCACCCGGGAGUCCUUGGAGCAUAGUAUUGGGGACGGCACAGGGGCAGGAGCAAAAGUUUUCGAUGCUUUUCAAGUCCACGGACUCCGUUACAUUUAUAAAAACGUAGUGGAAAAGAAACCUUUCUGUUUUAACUGUAACAAUUUUCUUCCCCAUAAUACAUGUCCCACAUGCUCCCUUUCUACUCCAGAAGCAGAAGAGACUUGUGAGAUCAGUGGAAAGAAAAAGGUUCCACAAAUCUACCUUUUAAAAUUCAGCAAAA
rnacentral:lncRNA from 1 species